GGUGGGAGCGGUUGUGGACACAGGUGGGAGCGGUGGUGGACACAGGUGGGAGCGGUGAUGGGAGCGGUUGUGGGAGCGGUUGUGGACACAGGUGGGAGCGGUUGUGGACACAGGUGGGAGCGGUUGUGGACACAGGUGGGAGCGGUUGUGGGAGCGGUGGUGGACACAGGUGGGAGCGGUUGUGGGAGCGGUUGUGGACACAGGUGGGAGCGGUUGUGGACACAGGUGGGAGCGGUUGUGGACACAGGUGGGAGCUGUUGUGGACACAGGUGGGAGUGCACUUGAAGCACACUGAGCCAAAAACUGGAC